rnacentral:lncRNA from 1 species
GUAAUUUCCCUGCAUAUCAGUAGCAUUAGCGCGAAUACGAGCAUAAUAUUGACCAUUUGAGGAUUUUCAUCCUCGUGAAGACUUUGGUUCACCUCAGGAAAUUGAUCUUGGUUUCUGGUUCUUCAUAGGUGGUGUCAUGAGGAUAUUCACCUGGAGAUUUUCAAAGCAACCUUUUGGAACCCAGAUUUUCCUCAUGGGUGGUCCAUUCCUGCAAUUAGUUCCAACAUAUCGAGCAAAUACUUCACCAGGUUGAUUUUUGAACAGUUUAUAGUUGGAGUCAAAUGACUCAUCUGAGGAAUAGAUUCAUAGUAGAUGGAUCG